AGAGUUUGAUCCUGGCUCAGGAUGAACGCUAGCGGCAGGCCUAAUACAUGCAAGUCGGACGGGAUUUGGGAGCUUGCUCCUAAUGAGAGUGGCGCACGGGUGCGUAACACGUAUGUAACCUACCUUCGUCAGGGGGAUAGCCUCUCGAAAGAGAGAUUAAGACCGCAUAACAUUAUUGAAUAGCAUUAUUUAAUAAUCAAAUAUUUAUAGGAUAAAGAUGGGCAUGCGGAACAUUAGCUAGUUGGUAAGGUAACGGCUUACCAAGGCUACGAUGUUUAGGGGAUCUGAGAGGAUGACCCCCCACACUGGUACUGAGACACGGACCAGACUCCUACGGGAGGCAGCAGUAAGGAAUAUUGGUCAAUGGGCGGAAGCCUGAACCAGCCAUGCCGCGUGCAGGAAGACGGCCCUACGGGUUGUAAACUGCUUUUGCAGGGGAA
rnacentral:rRNA from 1 species